rnacentral:rRNA from 1 species
UGUGAACUCGAAGAGUAGGGCGGGACACGUGGUAUCCUGUCUGAAUAUGGGGGGACCAUCCUCCAAGGCUAAAUACUCCUGACUGACCGAUAGUGAACCAGUACCGUGAGGGAAAGGCGAAAAGAACCCCGGCGAGGGGAGUGAAAAAGAACCUGAAACCGUGUACGUACAAGCAGUGGGAGCACCUUCGGGUGUGACUGCGUACCUUUUGUAUAAUGGGUCAGCGACUUAUAUUCUGUAGCAAGGUUAACCGUAUAGGGGAGCCGAAGGGAAACCGAGUCUUAACUGGGCGUUAAGUUGCAGGGUAUAGACCCGAAACCCGGUGAUCUAGCCAUGGGCAGGUUGAAGGUUGGGUAACACUAACUGGAGGACCGAACCGACUAAUGUUGAAAAAUUAGCGGAUGACCUGUGGCUGGGGGUGAAAGGCCAAUCAAACCGGGAGAUAGCUGGUUCUCCCCGAAAGCUAUUUAGGUAGCGCCUCGUGAACUCAUCUUCGGGGGUAGAGCACUGUUUCGGCUAGGGGGCCAUCCCGGCUUACCAACCCGAUGCAAACUACGAAUACCGAAGAAUGUUAUCACGGGAGACACACGGCGGGUGCUAACGUCCGUCGUGAAGAGGGAAACAACCCAGACCGCCAGCUAAGGUCCCAAAGUCAUGGUUAAGUGGGAAACGAUGUGGGAAGGCACAGACAGCCAGGAUGUUGGCUUAGAAGCAGCCAUCAUUUAAAGAAAGCGUAAUAGCUCACUGGUCGAGUCGGCCUGCGCGGAAGAUGUAACGGGGCUAAACCAUGCACCGAAGCUGCGGCAGCGACACUAUGUGUUGUUGGGUAGGGGAGCGUUCUGUAAGCCGUUGAAGGUGUGCUGUGAGGCAUGCUGGAGGUAUCAGAAGUGCGAAUGCUGACAUAAGUAACGAUAAAGCGGGUGAAAAGCCCGCUCGCCGGAAGACCAAGGGUUCCUGUCCAACGUUAAUCGGGGCAGGGUGAGUCGACCCCUAAGGCGAGGCCGAAAGGCGUAGUCGAUGGGAAACAGGUUAAUAUUCCUGUACUUGGUGUUACUGCGAAGGGGGGACGGAGAAGGCUAUGUCAGCCGGGCGACGGUUGUCCCGGUUUAAGCAUGUAGGCGGAGGUUCCAGGUAAAUCCGGUACCUUAUUAACGCUGAGGUGUGAUGACGAGGCACUACGGUGCUGAAGUGAUAAAUGCCCUGCUUCCAGGAAAAGCCUCUAAGCAUCAGGUAACACGAAAUCGUACCCCAAACCGACACAGGUGGUCAGGUAGAGAAUACCAAGGCGCUUGAGAGAACUCGGGUGAAGGAACUAGGCAAAAUGGUGCCGUAACUUCGGGAGAAGGCACGCUGAUA